AUAGAAUCUGCCUUGUACUGGGGAAUAGCCCAGAGAAAUUUGGAUUAAUGCCCCAUGGUAUGUAGUAGCSGCAUCGCUUCUACAUUAAAGGCUACGGUACAAGAUGACUAUGCGUCCCAUUAGUUAGUUGGUGAGGUAACGGCUCACCAAGACGGCGAUGGGUAGGGGCCCUGAGAGGGGGAUCCCCCACACUGGUACUGAGACACGGACCAGACUCCUACGGGAGGCAGCAGUGAGGAAUAUUGGACAAUGGGCGAGAGCCUGAUCCAGCCAUGCCGCGUGCAGGAAGACGGUCCUAUGGAUUGUAAACUGCUUUUAUACGGGAAGAACAAAGGGCACGUGUGCCCCUCUGACGGUACCGUAAGAAUAAGGAUCGGCUAACUCCGUGCCAGCAGCCGCGGUAAUACGGAGGAUCCGAGCGUUAUCCGGAAUCAUUGGGUUUAAAGGGUCCGUAGGCGGGCCAUUAAGUCAGGGGUGAAAGUCUGCGGCUCAACUGUAGAAUUGCCCUUGAUACUGGUGGUCUUGAGUUAUAGUGAAGUAACUAGAAUAUGUAGUGUAGCGGUGAAAUGCAUAGAUAUUACAUAGAAUACCGAUUGCGAAGGCAGGUUACUAACUAUAUACUGACGCUGAUGGACGAAAGCGUGGGGAGCGAACAGGAUUAGAUACCCUGGUAGUCCACGCCGUAAACGAUGGAUACUAGCUGUCCGGAUGCAAAUCUGGGCGGCCAAGCGAAAGUGAUAAGUAUCCCACCUGG
rnacentral:rRNA from 1 species